GGUUGUCUAUUUUGACACGUCUAUUCAUGAUUAAUUUGUUCUCAAUUUAAAACAAUUGAUAUUGAAAUAUAGAAAGAAAGUCGAAAUUAAAAUCUUAUACAUUGUAGCGUUUCUAAAUGUUUAAUGCAUGGAUGCAGGAUCAUGAGCGUGCCUUCUUCGACUCGGCGGAUUGGGCUCUAUGCAAGCAAGGUGCAGGAGUUGAUCAACAAUCAAUGGUGGCUAUAGAGACAUUACAACCAAAAUUACAGAAAACGCCCCAUCAGCAACUACCACCUCGGAAGCCCGCUUGUGCAGACAACUAUGGCAGCUCCUAAGUGUACUAAUGUGUUUUGUUUAAGAUAAUAUUAUGAUUUGUAAUUAAUCAAGAGAUUUAAGAGUUAGACCCUCGACUCGGCUGAGUUACUCUAUAGACUUAUUUUUAAAAACA